rnacentral:misc_RNA from 1 species
AAUCAAGAUGAUACCCUUCAAUUCGCCGCCUCUGGAUAUUGGAUUCACAAUGACUCGAGCUUUACAUGCUUUCAUUGCUGAAAGUCCAACUCUCAACUCCGUCCUCGCCGCAAGCAACACUGUCUUUGUUCUCAUGCAAACUGUUUACAUACUUUGGACGUUGCUGGUGGAGGGGAGGCCUCGGCCCACCAUUGCUACUAUCUUCAUGUUCACAUGUAGAGGCAUACUUGGUAGCUGGACUCAGCUGCCACUGCCUCAGGAUUUUCUCGGAUCAGGGAUGGAUUUCCCUGUGGGCAAUGUGUCCUUCUUCCUCUUCUACUCCGGCCAUGUGGCUGGGGCAGUGAUUGCAUCAUUGGACAUGCGGCGGAUGAGGCGG